GGGCGAGUGGCGGAAUUGGCAGACGCGUACGGCUUAGGACCGUAUAGGGAAGACCUGUGGAGGUUCAACUCCUCUCUCGCCCA
rnacentral:tRNA from 1 species